AUCGCGUUAUGUGACUGACGGAAGUAGAUUAACCACAGGGAGUAUAACCGUAGGAAGCCGACCGUCUGGGCGAAAGAA
rfam:Alloscardovia omnicolens F0580 genomic scaffold Scaffold92, whole genome shotgun sequence.